UAUCGACUUGGAGGUUGUGCCCNUGAGGCGUGGCUUCCGGAGCUAACGCGUUAAGUCGACCGCCUGGGGAGUACGGCCGCAAGGUUAAAACUCAAAUGAAUUGACGGGGGCCCGCACAAGCGGUGGAGCAUGUGGUUUAAUUCGAUGCAACGCGAAGAACCUUACCUGGUCUUGACAUCCACAGAACUUGCCAGAGAUGCCUUGGUGCCUUCGGGAACUGUGAGACAGGUGNUGCAUGGCUGUCGUCAGCUCGUGUUGUGAAAUGUUGGNUUAAGUCCCGCAACNAGCGCAACCNUUAUCCUUUGUUGCCANCGGUUAGGCCGGGAACUCAAAGGAGAGUGCCAGUGAUAAACUGGAGGAAGGUGGGGAUGACNUCAAGUCAUCANGGCCCUUACGACCAGGNCUACACACGUGCUACAAUGGCGCAUACAAAGAGAAGCAAUCUCGCGAGAGCUAGCGGACCUCAUAAACUGCGUCGUAGUCCGGAUUGGAGUCUGCAACUCGACUCCANGAAGUCGGAAUCGCUAGUAAUCGUGAAUCAGAAUGUCNGCGGUGAAUACGUUCCCGGGCCUUGUACAUCACCGCCCGUCACAUCCAUGG
rnacentral:rRNA from 1 species